AGCAGCCGCGGUAAUUCCAGCUCCAAUAGCGUAUAUUAAAGUUGUUGCAGUUAAAAAGCUCGUAGUUGAAUUUCGGGGUCAGUAGGUCGGUCGUGCCACAGGUAUGUACUAGUCUCACUGAUUCCUCCUUCCUGAUGAACCGUAAUGCCAUUAAUUUGGUGUUGCGGGGAAACUGGACUGUUACUUUGAAAAAUUAGAGUGUUUAAAGCAGGCUAACGCUUGAAUACAUUAGCAUGGAAUAAUGAAAUAGGACGUUCGAUCCUAUUUUGUUGGUUUCUAGGAUUGACGUAAUGAUUAAUAGGGAUAGUUGGGAGCAUUAGUAUUCAAUUGUCAGAGGUGAAAUUCUUGGAUUUAUUGAAGACUAACUACUGCGAAAGCAUUUGCCAAGGAUGUUUUCAUUAAUCAAGAACGAAAGUUAGGGGAUCGAAGACGAUCAGAUACCGUCGUAGU
rnacentral:rRNA from 1 species